GACAGAGGUGCCGAGCGUUUAGGCGGAAUCACUGGGCUUAAAGCGUGUGUAGGCGGACCCGUCAGUGUCUUGUGAAAUCCCCCGGCUCAACCGGGGAACGGCUGGGCAUACUGCGGGUCUUGAGACACCUAGGGGCGAGCGGAACAGGCGGUGGAGCGGUGAAAUGCGUAGAUAUCGUAAGGAAGACCAGUGGCGAAGGCGAGUCUCUGGACAGUUACUGACGCUGAGGCACGAAGGCCAGGGGAGCAAACGGG
rnacentral:rRNA from 1 species